GACGAACGCUGGCGGCGUGCUUAACACAUGCAAGUCGAACGAAGUGGCGAACGGGUGAGUAACGCGUAAUCAACCUGCCCUUCAGAGGGGGACAACAGUUGGAAACGACUGCUAAUACCGCAUACUGAAGGAGGGGAUUGCGUCUGAUUAGCUAGUUGGGGGGGUAACGGCCCACCAAGGCGAUGCUCAGUAGCCGGGCGGAGGGGAUGAACGGCCACAGUGGGACUUGGACACGGCCCAGACUCCUACGGGGAGCAGCAGUGGGGAAACUUCCGAAAGGGACGAAAGUCUGACGGAUGAACGCCGCGGGAGUGAUGACGGCCUUCGGGUUGUAAAGCUCUGUUAAUCGGGACGCGGUACCGGAAUAGAAAGCCACGGCUAACUACGUGCCAGCAGCCGCGGUAAUAC
rnacentral:rRNA from 1 species